CCUACGGGUGGCAGCAGUGAGGAAUUUUGCGCAAUGGGCGAAAGCCUGACGCAGCGACGCCGCGUGGAGGAUGAAGGCCUUCGGGUUGUAAACUCCUGUUAGAGGGGAAGAAGCCCCGCAAGGGGUUGACGGUACCCUCAGAGGAAGCCCCGGCUAACUACGUGCCAGCAGCCGCGGUAAUACGUAGGGGGCAAGCGUUACUCGGAAUUACUGGGCGUAAAGGGUGUGUAGGCGGCCGAGCAAGUCGAAGAUGAAAUCCCAGGGCGCAACCCUGGAAUUGUCUUCGAUACGGUUGGGCUGAAGGGUAGUGGAGGAGAGCGGAAUUCCCGGGGGAGGGGGAAAAUGCGUAGAUAUCGGGAGGAACACCAGAGGCGAAGGCGGCUCUCUAGGCUACUCCUGACGCGGAGGCACGAAAGCUAGGGGAGCAAACGGGAUUAGAUCCCCGGGUAGU
rnacentral:rRNA from 1 species